CUUGUGGCCACAUCAUGUUGAAACACUGGGUCUCAUAUGAUCAAAGAAGUUAAGCAAUUUCAAGCCUGGUCAGUACCUAGAUGAGUGACCACUUGAGAAUACCAGAUGCUGUCAGC